rnacentral:rRNA from 1 species
AGGAUCAACGCUGGCGGCGUGCCUAAUGCAUGCAAGUCGAACGGGGUGCUUUCGGGCACUUACGUGGCGGACGGGUGAGGAACACGUGGGCAAUCUGUCCUGAGGUGGGGGGUAGCCUUCGGAAACGGAGGGUAAUUCCGCAUGUGCGUACCGGGUGGUAGACCGGGUACGGAAAGGGUCUUCGGACUCGCCUGAGGGGAGCCUGCGGCCGAUUAGCUAGUUGGUGGGGUAGAGGCCUACCAAGGCGAUGAUCGGUAGCUGGUCUGAGAGGACGGCCAGCCACAUGGGGACUGAGACACGGCCCCAACUCCUACGGGAGGCAGCAGCAAGGAAUUUCCGCAAUGGGGGAAACCCUGACGGAGCAACGCCGCGUGCGGGAUGACGCUUUUCGGAGUGUAAACCGCUUUUCUCAGGGAAGAUGACGGACGGUACCUGAGGAAUAAGGCCCGGCUAACUACGUGCCAGCAGCCGC